AUUGAAGCAACGAUUACACAUCUAGACGUGCAAGACAACGCAUGAUUGUUUUAUAAAUAUGCCAGCUAAUAUCUUACCUGUUGAAUAUGGCGGCACUGAUGGUACAAUUCAAGAAUUGACAGAAUUUUGGAAGAAAGUGGUAGAAGAGAACCGCGAUUGGUUUAUCGACGAUGAAAAAUAUAUGCCAAUUUCAUAAAAAGAAUUAAAGUUUUAUGAAUUAAUAUAAUUUGCUGAAUUGUGCACAUUUAUUUUUCAUGAUAAGUAUGUUUCACCCAUCUUGAUCUCGAUUUGUAAUUGAUACGAGAACCACCACCUGGAAACUGCUUUUUCUUCCCUUCUUUUAUUAAGAAUAAAAGCAUUAUAAAUAUAAUUACAUCUAAGAAUUUCUAAGAAUAUCGGACCAUUUGUUGCGAGAAAUCACUGCCAAUGGAAAGCUGCCAACUUUUGUCUCAUUUGGUGUUAAAUCAAGAGAUACAAUAGUGCUUUUUAUUAAAAUAUAUAUACACAACAUUCAAGUAAAAUACUCAGUUAUAUAUAUUGGAUUUUAUUGCGAAUAUAAUAACUUUAAUACCGAAAUAUAGUAAUAAAAUAAUUAAAUUAUAUAGUGUUUAUAAUAUUUUGUUACAUAAUUUGCCGCAUUAUAUAUAUUUUUUAAUAUCAUUAUUUUUAUUGGAGAACGAGAGAUUUUAAUCAACAGAAUAUAUAUUUUUAUUACGUAUACCGAAACACGCCGAAAAUUGACUUUGCUCGGAAAUCCGAAAAUUACGUUACGUAGCGAUAGAGUUCAUUAUACAAAUUUAUCAACAAUUAUUUUAAACAUUAUUUGCUAUAACAUGCAUUAUAUGCCAAUUUUUUUGCGUUGUUCUAUUAUUAGAUAAUUAAUUUUUUAAGGAUAUUUUUUUACGUUGCUUUGCAAUGUAUUUGAAAUUACGAAAUUCUUAUUCAACAUUUAUGAUGAAGUAAUCUAUCGUAAGUAAUAUAUCGUUUUUAUACGUUAUAUAUUUCGCAUUAUAAUUGCUGAGUGAGUAAGAAUUUCAUGAUUUCAAGUGGUAGAAGAGAAUCGCAACUGGUUAAUCGGUGAUGAAAAAAAUAUAAACCAGUUUUGAAAUGUGUAGCAGAAUCGAAUUAAAAUUCUACGUAUAAAACAUCGAGUUGAAACUAUAUGAAAUCGAAAAAACAAUGUAGCGAUAAAAAACAGUAAACACGAUACAAUCGAUGCAACGAGCACGAAAUAGGAUCAAGAUUUUUUUAUAAAAUAUAUAUAGUAUGAUUAAAAUUAUAUAUAAGUAAAAUUUUAUGUAAUUUUUUAUUUUAAGAAGAGUUACAUUUUGUGAAUUCACGUAAUUUAUUUCGCCCAUUCAUGUACUCUCAUUUCUCGUGAUAAGCUUGUUUCAUAUCUCCAUCUUAAUUUUUAUUUAUAAUUUAUGCGGCGAGAACCCCCUCCCCCUCUCUCGUUCGGCCCGCCACUUGAAAAUUGUCCUUUUUUCUCUUUACUAGUUUAAAAAUAUUUUUACGUUAAAUUUCUGAGAACCAUUUGUAACAAGAAACCACUGCAAACGAAAGGCACGAACCGCCGUCUCCUUCGGUGUUGAAUUACACUGUUGGUGUUCCAAGCGAGGGCAAACAGUCUGAAAUCGUUCAUCGCGCAUGAUACCGGCAAGAUGUCAGAUAGUUUUUGACACUUCUCUCUCAAAAAUAUGGUUCAGGAGAAAAGGAGAGAGAAAACUCGCUCUUUAUUUGAUCUGGCAAAUAUAUGUAUAAACGUAUAAGCUUUCUCAUAAUAUCUUAUAGUUUUUUCUGAGAAUAUUAUAAACUUUCUUUUUAUAGCUAUUCUCUCUCGCAAAUAUUAUAUUAACAGAUUGAUCUUAUUUUUAUGGAAAAUAUUAUUUUUUUGUAGUAUUUAUUUUUAAUUUGAAAAUUAGGUAGUCUAUUUUUUAUUGUAUUUAUAUCUAUUUUUUAUGUCUUUUUUGACUUUUGAACGAGAAAUUGAAGGUCAAUUAUUCCUUUUGUUUAUCAUAAUAUAAUACAAAGGUAACGUGAAAUCAAUCGAAAUCUAUUCGUGUUUAUGUCUUUCCGCGUUUAUUUUCGUGACGAGAUUGGACAUUCCCUUCUCAGGAAUUAUAGCUCUGUAUUAUUACUUGCCAGCCAAACAAACGCCCAUUAUUUUACUGAAAUUUGGCGACAUUGUGUCGACAAUGGUAAGUUGAUAUCAGCUGAAGGAGUCCUGGUUGAACACAGGAAUUUAAAAUUGUUCUCUUUCUUAGAAGAACAGGUUAUUAUACGAACAACGAAUUUAAUUAUCAAAUUUAAAAAAUUACAUUUUGUGAUCUCUUUCACGUCGAAUAUAAAAGCAUUGUAAACCAGAUUACCGAAAAUUUGAUAAAAUUUCAAGAUGCUAUGUAUCUGAAUCUUUAAGCUUCCAACGUAAAAUAUCUCUUGCAUGCGUCGACUACUGAAUUGUGUUACAUUUAUAUUUAAAAAAAAAAAAAAA